UAAGACGAACCGUACGAACGUUAUUCGGAAUUACUGGGCUUAAAGGGUGCGUAGGCUGCACGGAAAGUUGGGUGUGAAAGCCCUCAGCUCAACUGAGGAAUUGCAUCCAAAACUGCCGUGCUUGAGGGAGACAGAGGUGAGCGGAACUCAAGGUGGAGCGGUGAAAUGCGUUGAUAUCUUGAGGAACACCGGUGGCGAAAGCGGCUCACUGGGUCUCUUCUGACGCUGAGGCACGAAAGCUAAGGUAGCAAACGGGAUUAGAUACCCCGGUAGUCUUAGCUGUAAACGAUGAGCACUUGAUUGGAGGGUCCUCCAUAGCCUUCCAGUCGUAGCGAAAGUGUUAAGUGCUCCGCCUGGGAGUAUGGUCGCAAGGCUG
rnacentral:rRNA from 1 species